GAUGAACGCUGGCGGCGUGCCUAAUACAUGCAAGUCGAGCGAACAGACGAGGAGCUUGCUCCUCUGACGUUAGCGGCGGACGGGUGAGUAACACGUGGAUAACCUACCUAUAAGACUGGGAUAACUUCGGGAAACCGGAGCUAAUACCGGAGAAUAUAUUGAACCGCAUGGUUCAAUAGUGAAAGACGGUUUUGCGGUCACUUAUAGAUGGAUCCGCGCCGUAUUAGCUAGUUGGUAAGGUAACGGCUUACCAAGGCAACGAUGCGUAGCCGACCUGAGAGGGUGAUCGGCCACACUGGAACUGAGCCACGGACAAGACGCCUAAGGGAGGCAGCAGUAGGGAAUCUUACGCAAUGGGCGAAAGCAUGACGGAGCAACGCCGCGUGAGUGAUGAAGGCCUUCGGAUCGUAAAGCUCUGUUAUGAGGGAAGAACAAAUGUGUAAGUAAAUAUGCACGUAUUGACGGUACCUAGUCAGAAAGCAACGGCUAACUACGUG
rnacentral:rRNA from 1 species